rnacentral:ncRNA from 1 species
AUAAAUAUUUAUAAUUUAAAAAGUUUAAUUUAAAUUUGUUUUAUAUGUAAAUUUUAGUGUGGAUUUUUAAUUAUUUUAAUAAUUUUUAAAAUUUAAUUAAUAGUAAUUAAAAUUAAAAAUUUAAGAAAUUAAGAUUUAGUGAUAUUUAAUAUAUUAUUAACAAAUUUUGUGCCAGCAGUUGCGGUUAUACAAAAAAUAAUUUAAAUUUUAUUAGUGUAUAAUAAAUAAUUAAAAUAAAAAUUAAAAAUUAAAUUAUUAGGUGAAAUUUUAAUUUAAUUAAUAUUUAAUUUUAUUAUAUGAUUUAUUAAAUUUUUUAAGAAACUAGGAUUAGAUACCCUAUUAUUAAAAAUUAAAUAAAAAAUACUUAAAUAGUAUAUAAUUAUUUAUAGAAACUUAAAUAAUUUGGCGGUAUUUUAGUUCAUUUAGAGGAAUCUGUCUAAUAAUUGAUAGUCCACGAAUAAAUUUACUUAAUUUUUUAAUUUUGUAUAUCGUUGUUAUAAAAAUAUUUUUUUAUAAAAAUAAUAUUUAAAAAUUAAUAAUAUAAAUUAAUUCAGAUCAAGAUGCAGAUUAUAAUUAAGAAUAUGAUGGAUUACAAUAUAAAUAUAUAUAUAAACGGAUAAUUUUUUUUUAAAUUUAAUAUUUAAGGUGGAUUUAAAUGUAAUUUUAUUUAAUUUAUUAAAAUGAUUAAAAAUUAAAAUAUGUACAUAUUGCCCGUCGCUUUCAUUAAUAAAUUGAAAUAAGUCGUAACAAAGUAGAGGUACUGGAAAGUGUUUCUAGAAAGA